rnacentral:piRNA from 1 species
UAAGUAGUGUUUAUAAAAUAA